GUCUCUCUAACGCAAUGGAUAGCGUGUUGGACUUCAAAUCCAAAGGUCGUGGAUUUGAAUUCUACCUGAGAUG